AUUGAACGCUGGCGGCAGGCCUAACACAUGCAAGUCGAACGGUAACAGGGAUCAGCUUGCUGAUUCGCUGACGAGUGGCGGACGGGUGAGUAAUGUCUGGGAAACUGCCUGAUGGAGGGGGAUAACUACUGGAAACGGUAGCUAAUACCGCAUAACGUCACAAGACCAAAGAGGGGGACCUUCGGGCCUCUUGCCAUCGGAUGUGCCCAGAUGGGAUUAGCUAGUAGGUGGGGUAACGGCUCGCCUAGGCGACGAUCCCUAGCUGGUCUGAGAGGAUGACCAGCCACACUGGAACUGAGACACGGUCCAGACUCCUACGGGAGGCAGCAGUGGGGAAUAUUGCACAAUGGGCGCAAGCCUGAUGCAGCCAUGCCGCGUGUAUGAAGAAGGCCUUCGGGUUGUAAAGUACUUUCAGCGGGGAGGAAGGGAGUAAAGUUAAUACCUUUGCUCAUUGACGUUACCCGCAGAAGAAGCACCGGCUAACUCCGUG
rnacentral:rRNA from 1 species